UCCAGGAAAUGAAGCUUCAUUCUCCCUUCUCUACCCUUCAGAGUGUAAUUUCAGAACAUCUUGCACAUUGAACAACGGUCAGGCACAUGCCCCUUUCCUAAGUAUAAGAGGCACUUUGAAUUGCUGUCAUUGAUGGGCAGUGUAUCGCAAGAGGGGCAGAUCUUAAAUCAUGGAGAUUUGCCUUUGGCCAUUUUAGGUCUGUGUGCAGGGGGUUCUAGCCCUUAUAUAGGGUGAGGAGCAUUCAGUUCCCUGAAUCUAAAUAUCUGUUAAAAAUAUUUUUUAAAGCAACGGGCUUAAACUGAACUUAUCUAGCAUCUGUAACAAACUACUAAAAUAACAAUAACUCAAACUAAACUUUCAGUAGGUGAAGAUACAUGAUGAAACAAGGUUCUGUCCUGGAAUCUCCGGCAAUAAGAAAGAACUGAGAAGUUGUUGGGGCCACCCCUCCCCUUAACCCUUUACAAUGGCUGUGAGGCCUCCCAGGGUUCAAGUGCAGCCCCAAAGGACAGUGCUAUUUCGAAGAGUCCAAUCUUGCAAGCAUGGGGCGAAUGUACACCAAGAAUGGAAUCAGUGUGGACAAUCACUCGAAGAAGAUUUAUUAUUUAUUUCUCCGACGUUUGGAUUCCCUGAAGUUACCUUGGCAAUAUUCUCUGAGGGAAGACUGAGUCCUACAUCGUCCUUUGCCAUUAACUUUUGCAAAAUAACCUCUGUGUAGCUGAAUUUAUACCCAUAUUAAAAUGCAAAUUGCUGGACCAACUGAAGCCAGGCAGGAACAGAUUUAUCAAGAUGACUCAAAGAUCCGGACCUUCUACCAUGGUGCCUGGUGGAAUGGAACCACAGGAGGAACUUGGGUCCUCUGGGAAGAUGGAGUUGAUCUAGGUAAAAUACAGAUGACGGUGAUCUUCUGCUUUCCUCGGCUUCGAUGGUCCUCUUGCCUCUCGCAGACCACACAAACCAAACAAACACAAGCUGCCUCUAGGGAGGACAACACUAAGGGGAGGGUGACUUCCCCUUAAAUAGACUGGUUAUCUCCGGGCAGAUCAGCCUGAGUUCAGGUGAUCCUUUCCCGCCUUUGAGGGUUACCAGGUAAAUUAAGCCCACAGGGCAACCAAUUAGAAAAAUCAUACUACAAAAAGGGUGCCUGUGAUGUUGCACCCCAUAAUGCUUUAUAGAAAUAUGCUUAUAAGUGUAAAUAUGACAUAACUGGAAUAUGUUUUAUGCUAGAUAUGCCAUGUAACAUAUCUUUGCAAAGGUUGUGUUCUUCUGCAUGUAUUCAUUCUAUUUGUAUGCACGUAUCAUUUUAAUAUCUGAAGUUAUGAGCGUUGGCUCUAUGCUUGUAUUUAAAGUGUUUGCGGUAGAAAGCAUCUAAGGCAGAUUUGGUCAACAUAAUGUGAAGGGGUUAUUCAAGUAAUUGGGAGUACUUGGCUAACAAUGGACCUUGAUAGAUGCCAAUCCACGUCUGAGAUUUCCUGGGGAACAUCCUGGAGAGAACUGAGUCAUGCAUGGACAUGUGACUUGCCAAUGUGACUCCAAAACUCCAUCUUGUAGCUGAAUUCUGCAUAGGAGAGGAGAAGGGGUUUCCACCCACAAGAAAAAAGUCUAUUUAAGCUCCUGGAAACCCCUCCAUUUUGUCUUCAGCUGGACCAAGAUAUAGUCUCUCCACCCCAAAGGACUCCUGAAAGAAACUGGAACAAAGGACAGUAACUACAGGGGUGUGUAAUUGAUUGCUGGACCCAGACUAGAAGGAGUCUAGUCUGUCAAAGAAGCUUAUUGGAACAUCUCUGAGGGUGCGAUUUACCUGCAUUUAGUUUCCUACUGUAUUAGGCUUAGACUUGCG
ensembl:lncRNA